GGGGGCGUCACGGUUUCGAUUCAAACUGGAAGCGACCUGCGGCAAGCCGAGGGCCCGGAUUGGUUGGCCUCGUUAAAAAGCCGAUCCACCAAAAUAAAAGCUAACAACGAGUUGGCCCUCGCAGCCUAAAGUGCUGUGACGUUACUCCUCCGACCCCGGCUAGGGGGAAGUGACGUGUUUGCCGGGUCUGAGAAUGGGUGAGCAACCGACCUGUUUUUAGGAAUCAACGUGGAUGCUACGGGGUACGGGCCAGUGGCAGGGCAACCGGACUCCCGACAAUCAAGCUGCCAACAAGCUUGUAGAAGCGGGUGGUAGCUGGUUUGAAGACGUGGGUUCAACUCCCACCGCCUCCAUUC
rfam:Verrucomicrobia subdivision 6 bacterium BACL9 MAG-120924-bin69 contig08413_1_120924-bin69, whole genome shotgun sequence.